rnacentral:rRNA from 1 species
AGUGAACGCUGGCGGUAGGCCUAACACAUGCAAGUCGAACGGCAGCACAGUAAGAGCUUGCUCUUACGGGUGGCGAGUGGCGGACGGGUGAGGAAUACAUCGGAAUCUACUUUUUCGUGGGGGAUAACGUAGGGAAACUUACGCUAAUACCGCAUACGAUCUACGGGUGAAAGCAGGGGAUCUUCGCACCUUGCGCGAUUGAAUGAGCCGAUGUCGGAUUAGCUAGUUGGCGGGGUAAAGGCCCACCAAGGCGACGAUCCGUAGCUGGUCUGAGAGGAUGAUCAGCCACACUGGAACUGAGACACGGUCCAGACUCCUACGGGAGGCAGCAGUGGGGAAUAUUGGACAAUGGGCGCAAGCCUGAUCCAGCCAUACCGCGUGAGUGAAGAAGGCCUUCGGGUUGUAAAGCCCUUUUGUUGGGAAAGAACAGCAGCAGGUUAAUACCCCGCUGUUCUGACGGUACCCAAAGAAUAAGUACCGGCUAACUUCGUG